rnacentral:ribozyme from 1 species
UGCCCAGCAACUCCUAUCCCUACCUCCACGCGGUACCGGCCGGAAACUAUGAGCAACCUUAGGGAAGAUCGGGCACCGGGAACCAACCCCGGUGGGAACUUUGAUCAUAGGCUGACAGGGAAUG